rnacentral:sRNA from 12 species
CACGGUCACAUGGAGUAGCCAAGUGCGAAAGACGACCGAUGUAAAAGGAGCUGCACUUCCCUGGGUGAGAAUCCCUAAAACUGCUCUCCGAUGUCCUUACACGGACGCUGCUUGCAUGGUGAGGAAUGUGCCUAACCUCAUUUCAUGUGUAAGGACAACGCACUUUAGACGGCACCCAACAAGACAUUUGUACGGAGGGCGAAUAUUUUGACAAGUCAGG